GCACUUGCUUUGGCAGUACAUAUACUGUUGGAAAGAUACAGAGAAGAUUAGCACAAUCCAUGCAAGGAUAGCACACAAACCCAUGAAUUGCUCCAUAUUAAA